rnacentral:tRNA from 1 species
GGAGCUGGAGCUCAGUGGUAGGGCAUGUGUUUUCCAUGCACAAGGUCCUGGGUUUAAUCCCCAGCGUGUACCA